rnacentral:rRNA from 1 species
CCUACGGGUGGCAGCAGUGAGGAAUAUUGGUCAAUGGACGCAAGUCUGAACCAGCCAUGCAGCGUGCAGGAAGACUGCUCUAUGAGUUGUAAACUGCUUUUGUACGAGGGUAAACGCAGAUACGCGUACCUGUUUGAAAGUAUCGUAUGAAUAAGGAUCGGCUAACUCCGUGCCAGCAGCCGCGGUAAUACGGAGGAUUCAAGCGUUAUCCGGAUUUAUUGGGUUUAAAGGGUGCGUAGGCGGUCGGAUAAGUUAGUGGUGAAAUCCCGAGGCUCAACCUCAGAAUUGCCUCUGAUACUGGUCGGCUAGAGAGUAGUUGCGGUAGGCGGAAUGUAUGGUGUAGCGGUGAAAUGCUUAGAGAUCAUACAGAACACCGAUUGCGAAGGCAGCUUACCAAGCUACUUCUGACAUUGAGGCACGAAAGUGUGGGGAGCAAACAGGAUUAGAUACCCUUGUAGUC